rnacentral:rRNA from 1 species
CCUACGGGAGGCAGCAGUGGGGGAUAUUGCACAAUGGGGGAAACCCUGAUGCAGCGACGCCGCGUGUGGGAAGACGGUCCUCUGGAUUGUAAACCCCUGUCAUGUGGGAGCAAAUUAAAAAGAUAGUACCACAAGAGGAAGAGACGGCUAACUCUGUGCCAGCAGCCGCGGUAAUACAGAGGUCUCAAGCGUUGUUCGGAAUCACUGGGCGUAAAGCGUGCGUAGGCUGUUUCGUAAGUCGUGUGUGAAAGGCGCGGGCUCAACCCGCGGACGGCACAUGAUACUGCGAGACUAGAGUAAUGGAGGGGGAACCGGAAUGCUCGGUGUAGCAGUGAAAUGCGUAGAUAUCGAGAGGAACACUCGUGGCGAAGGCGGGUUCCUGGACAUUAACUGACGCUGAGGCACGAAGGCCAGGGGAGCGAAAGGGAUUAGAUACCCGAGUAGUC